AGAGUUUGAUCCUGGCUCAGGAUGAACGCUGGCGGCAUGCCUAAUACAUGCAAGUCGAACGAGAGGAAGGAAAGCUUGCUUUUCUGAAUCUAGUGGCGAACGGGUGAGUAACACGUAGGUAACCUGCCCAUGUGCCCGGGAUAACUUCUGGAAACGGAUGCUAAAACCGGAUAGGUAGCAGACAAGCAUUUGACUGCUAUUAAAGUGGCCUUGGCCAUGAACAUGGAUGGACCUGCGGUGCAUUAGCUGGUUGGUGAGGUAACGGCCCACCAAGGCGACGAUGCAUAGCCGGCCUGAGAGGGCGGACGGCCACAUUGGGACUGAGACACGGCCCAAACUCCUACGGGAGGCAGCAGUAGGGAAUUUUCGUCAAUGGGGGGAACCCUGAACGAGCAAUGCCGCGUGAGUGAGGAAGGUCUUCGGAUCGUAAAGCUCUGUUGUAAGAGAAAAACGGCACUCAUAGGGAAUGAUGAGUGAGUGAUGGUAUCUUACCAGAAAGUCACGGCUAACUACGUGCCAGCAGCCGCGGUAAUACGUAGGUGGCGAGCGUUAUCCGGAAUGAUUGGGCGUAAAGGGUGCGUAGGUGGCAGAUCAAGUCUGGAGUAAAAGGUAUGGGCUCAACCCGUACUGGCUCUGGAAACUGAUCAGCUAGAGAACAGAAGAGGACGGCGGAACUCCAUGUGUAGCGGUAAAAUGCGUAGAUAUAUGGAAGAACACCGGUGGCGAAGGCGGCCGUCUGGUCUGGAUUCUGACACUGAAGCACGAAAGCGUGGGGAGCAAAUAGGAUUAGAUACCCUAGUAGUCCACGCCGUAAACGAUGAGAACUAGGUGUUGGGGGAAUAACUCAGUGCCGCAGUUAACGCAAUAAGUUCUCCGCCUGGGGAGUAUGCACGCAAGUGUGAAACUCAAAGGAAUUGACGGGGGCCCGCACAAGCGGUGGAGUAUGUGGUUUAAUUCGAAGCAACGCGAAGAACCUUACCAGGCCUUGACAUCCCUUGCAGAGGUAUAGAGAUAUAUCCGAGGUUAUCAAGGAGACAGGUGGUGCAUGGUUGUCGUCAGCUCGUGUCGUGAGAUGUUGGGUUAAGU
rnacentral:rRNA from 1 species